CNNNCUCCUGGAAUGGAUUCUCGCUGAAAGGACGUUUAGACCAUGCUUCUAGGCGUCGCCCAAGGAGGGGGCCGCGACCGAUCAGGUUGUUGGUGAGGUAACGGCUUACCAAGCCUUUAACCGGUACGGGCCGUGAGAGCGGAAGCCCGGAGAUGGGCACUGAGACAAGGGCCCAGGCCCUACGGGGCGCAGCAGUCGCGAAAACUCCGCAAUACACGAAAGUGUGACGGGACUAUCCCGAGUGCCAUCCGCUGAGGAUGNNUUUUCCCCAGUGUAUAAAGCUGGGGGAAUAAGGAGAGGGCAAGCCUGGUGUCAGCCGCCGCGGUAAUACCNGCUCUCCGAGUGGUGNGGAUGUUUAUUGNGCCUAAAGCAUUCGUAGCCUGCUUGNCAAGUCCUCCGUUAAAUCCAACGAUUCANUCGUUGGGCUGCGGGGGAUNCUGUCCGGCUAGGGGGCGGGAGAGGCCGACGGUAUCCCCGGGGUAGGGGUGAAAUCCUAUAAUCCCGGGAGGACCACCAGUGGCGAAGGCUGUCGGCUAGAACGUGCUCGACGGUGAGGGAUGAAAGCUGGGGGAGCGAACCGGAUUAGAUACCCGGGUAGUCCCAGCUGUAAACGAUGCAGGCUAGGUGUUGGCGCGGCUACGUGCCGCUCCAGUGCCGCAGGGAAGCCGUUAAGCCUGCCGCCUGGGAAGUACGGCCGCAAGGNUGAAACUUAAAGGAAUUGGCGGGGGAGCACCACAAGGUGUGAAGCUUGCGGUUUAAUUGGAGUCAACGCCGGNNNCUCACCGGGGGCGACAGCAGAAUGAAGGUCAGAUUGAGGGUCUUACCAGACAAGCUGAGAGGAGGUGCAUGGCCGUCGCCAGUUCGUGCCGUGAGGUGUCCUGUUAAGUCAGGCAACGAUCGAGACCCGCGUCCCCUGUUGCCACCGGCCUUGAGCCGAGCACACUGGGGAGACUGCCGUCGAUAAGGCGGAGGAAGGAGCGGGCCACGGCAGGUCAGUAUGCCCCGAAUCCCCCGGGCUACACGCGAGCUGCAAUGGCAGGUACAGAGGGUCCCGACUCUGAAAAGANAAGGAAAUCCCGAAAGCCUGCCGUANUUGGNAUCGAGGGUNGUAACNCNCCCNCNNGAACNUGGAAUACCUAGUAACCNGCGNGUCACUACCGCNNGGNGAANACGUCCNUGCUCCUUGNACNCACCGCCCGUCGUUCCAUCCAAGCGAUGCUNGNNGAGGCGUGNNCNUUNGGGCUGCGUCGAAUCCGGGUUUCGUGAGGAGGGAAAAGUC
rnacentral:rRNA from 1 species